CAUGGGGGAGUGGGGGGGGGUCCCUCAGCCUGGAUUGUAAAAGGGCACAGGCCAGGCCGAGGGACCCCACUUGAUGCACG
rnacentral:pre_miRNA from 1 species